rnacentral:rRNA from 1 species
UGGGGAAUCUUGCACAAUGGGCGAAAGCCUGAUCCAGCAACGCCGCGUGGAGGACGAAGGCCUUAGGGUCGUAAACUCCUGUCAGUAGGGACGAAAAAAGUAGGGGUCGAACAGGCCCUGCCAUUGACGGUACCUGCAGAGGAAGCCCCGGCUAACUCCGUGCCAGCAGCCGCGGUAAUACGGAGGGGGUUAGCGUUGUUCGGAAUUACUGGGCGUAAAGCGCACGUAGGCGGACCAGAAAGUUGGGGGUGAAAAUCCCGGGGCUCAACCCCGGAACUGCCUCCAAAACUAUUGGUCUAGAGUUCGAGAGAGGUGAGUGGAAUUCCAAGUGUAGAGGUGAAAUUCGUAGAUAUUUGGAGGAACACCAGUGGCGAAGGCGGCUCACUGGCUCGAUACUGACGCUGAGGUGCGAAAGUGUGGGGAGCAAACAGGAUUAGAUACCCUGGUAGUCCACGCCGUAAAACGAUGAGUGCUAGAUGUUGGGAUUUUCGGAUUUCAGUGUCGCAGCUAACGCAUUAAGCACUCCGCCUGGGAGUACGGCCGCAAGGUU